rnacentral:rRNA from 1 species
AUUGAACGCUGGCGGCAUGCCUUACACAUGCAAGUCGAACGGUAACAGGCCGCAAGGUGCUGACGAGUGGCGAACGGGUGAGUAAUGCAUCGGAACGUGCCCAGUAGUGGGGGAUAGCCCGGCGAAAGCCGGAUUAAUACCGCAUACGACCUGAGGGUGAAAGGGGGGGAUCGCAAGACCUCUCGCUAUUGGAGCGGCCGAUGUCAGAUUAGCUAGUUGGUGGGGUAAAGGCCUACCAAGGCAACGAUCGGUAGUUGGUCUGAGAGGACGACCAGCCACACUGGGACUGAGACACGGCCCAGACUCCUACGGGAGGCAGCAGUGGGGAAUUUUGGACAAUGGGCGCAAGCCUGAUCCAGCAAUGUCGCGUGCAGGAAGAAGGCCUUCGGGUUGUAAACUGCUUUUGUCAGGGAAGAAAUCUUCUGGGUUAAUACCUCGGGAGGAUGACGGUACCUGAAGAAUAAGCACCGGCUAACUACGUGCCAGCCGCCGCCGUAA